UACGUAGGGUGCAAGCGUUUGUCCGGAAUUAUUGGGCGUAAAGAGCUCGUAGGCGGUCUGUCGCGUCGAAUGUGAAACCCGGGGCUCAACCCCGGGCCUGCAUUCGAUACGGGCAGACUAGAGGUAGGUAGGGGAGAAUGGAAUUCCCGGUGUAGCGGUGAAAUGCGCAGAUAUCGGGAGGAACACCGGUGGCGAAGGCGGUUCUCUGGGCCUUAACUGACGCUGAGGAGCGAAAGCAUGGGGAGCGAACAGG
rnacentral:rRNA from 1 species